rnacentral:rRNA from 1 species
UACGUAGGGGGCCAGCGUUGUCCGGAUUUAUUGGGCGUAAAGAGCGUGUAGGCGGUCUGGUAGGUCCGUUGUGAAAACUCGAGGCUCAACCUCGAGACGCCGAUGGAAACCAUCAGACUAGAGUCCGGAAGAGGAGAGUGGAAUUCCUGGUGUAGCGGUGAAAUGCGCAGAUAUCAGGAAGAACACCCGUGGCUAAGGCGGCUCGCUAGUACGGUACUGACGCUGAGACGCGAAAGCGUGGGGAGCAAACAGG